UACAGAGGUGGCAAGCGUUGUUCGGAAUUACUGGGCGUAAAGGGCGCGUAGGCGGCCUUCUAAGUCAGACGUGAAAUCUCCCGGCUUAACCUGGGAACUGCGUCUGAUACUGGGAGGCUUGAGUAUGGGAGAGGGAUGUAGAAUUCCAGGUGUAGCGGUGAAAUGCGUAGAUAUCUGGAGGAAUACCGGUGGCGAAGGCGGCAUCCUGGACCAUAACUGACGCUGAGGCGCGAAAGCUAGGGGAGCAAACGGG
rnacentral:rRNA from 1 species